UUGCCUCAGUAACGGCGAGUGAAGCGGCAACAGCUCAAAUUUGAAAUCUGGCCGUUCGGCGGUCCGAGUUGUAAUUUGUAGAGGAUGCUUCGGGUGCGGCGCCGGUCUAAGUUCCUUGGAACAGGACGUCAUAGAGGGUGAGAAUCCCGUAUGUGACCGGCGACCUGGCCCGUGUGAAGCUCCUUCAACGAGUCGAGUUGUUUGGGAAUGCAGCUCUAAGCGGGUGGUAAAUUUCAUCUAAAGCUAAAUACCGGCCAGAGACCGAUAGCGCACAAGUAGAGUGAUCGAAAGAUGAAAAGCACUUUGGAAAGAGAGUUAAAAAGUACGUGAAAUUGUUGAAAGGGAAGCGCUUGCGACCAGACUUGCUCACGGGCGAUCAGCCGUCCUUCUGGGCGGUGCACUCGCCGGUGAUCAGGCCAGCAUCGGUUCAGGCGGCCGGAUAAAGGCCCCGGGAACGUGGCUCCCCUCGGGGAGUGUUAUAGCCCGGGGUGCAAUGCGGCCCGCCGGGACCGAGGACCGCGCUUCGGCUAGGAUGCUGGCGUAAUGGUCGUAAGCGACCCGUCUUGAAACACGGACCAAGGAGUCUAACAUCUGUGCGAGUGUUUGGGUGUCAAACCCAUGCGCGGAAUGAAAGUGAACGGAGGUGGGAACCCUUCAGGGUGCACCAUCGACCGAUCCUGAUGUCUUCGGAUGGAUUUGAGUAAGAGCAUAGCUGUUGGGACCCGAAAGAUGGUGAACUAUGCCUGAAUAGGGUGAAGCCAGAGGAAACUCUGGUGGAGGCUCGCAGCGGUUCUGACGUGCAAAUCGAUCGUCAAAUUUGGGUAUAGGGGCGAAAGACUAAUCGAACCAUCUAGUAGCUGGUUCCUGCC
rnacentral:rRNA from 1 species